rnacentral:lncRNA from 10 species
CAUAAACUGGCAGACCAUGGUCAAGAGACUUCUACUGGGCUGGGAGAGUCCGCUGUCUCAUUGGGUAUGAAGAUCCCAGAACAUCUCCAGGCUGCUGUAAACUCUUGCUAAGUGUCCGCCAUUGUUACUGCUUCUGCUUCUUGCAACAGCUCUUGUCUUUGGCCCUAUUAAUAUAACCAUUUCAGAGGAGGGAACUGAGGCUCAGAAGGGUGAGGUAAAUUGCCCAAAGUUGUUAAAAUUCCUUGCCUUGAACACUCAGCUUCCUCUCUUCCCCCGCGCCACGCAGGGACUGCCUGCCCAGACGCAGUUCUCUCUACUCUGCGAAUUCCUGCUCCCUACUCGACAGCCCUCCCCCUCCUCAAAUCUUCCUGCAGAGCCCUGACGGUGGUUCACAGCCCCCGAAAAGAAUGUGCCCCGGUGACAGGAUUGACGGGAAGCUGCCUUGAAAAUAAACACUGCCGGACGGUGGGGCGGAGCCUCCUCUAGCCCCCUCCCCUUCCCUCCUACGUGUACCCCCACCUCCGCCCCCCAGAGCAGUUUCCUUUCUCCCUACCUCCGUCCUUCGCUUUCUAUUCAGUAUGGGGCUGCCAGCCCUCGUCCCCGCCUUCUGAAGUGCCCACUGUCAAGUUAACACUAAUCAUGAUAAUAAACUUUCCACCGGUGAACAAAGCGUUCCACACAAAGGUCUCUUCUGAUCGCUACAUCCCUCGGAGAAAAGUAUCAUCGCCCCUCCCGCCCCAUGUUAGAGCCUUGGACAUUGAGGCCCCAGAAAUAAAAUUAUUUGUCCAAGGUCACGAAGCAAGUAAGGAGUGGGUGCAGGACGCCUCCGCUCCACGCCUGGGUGGGCUGGAG